rnacentral:rRNA from 1 species
UACGGGGGGGGCAAGCGUUGUUCGGAAUUACUGGGCGUAAAGGGCUCGUAGGCGGCCAACUAAGUCAGACGUGAAAUCCCUCGGCUUAACCGGGGAACUGCGUCUGAUACUGGAUGGCUUGAGUUCGGGAGAGGAAAGUGGAAUUCCUGGUGUAGCGGUGAAAUGCGUAGAUAUCAGGAGGAACACCGGUGGUGUAGACGGCUUUCUGGACCGUAACUGACGCUGAGACACGAAAGCGUGGGUAGCAAACAGG